rnacentral:rRNA from 1 species
AGAGCGAACGCUGGCGGCGUGCUUAACACAUGCAAGUCGAACGCGCAGCGUUCUGUAGCAAUACAGGGUGUGGGCGCGUGGCGAACGGGUGCGUAACACGUGGAUAACCUUCCUUGAGGUGGGGAAUAACCCAGUGAAAAUUGGGCUAAUACCGCAUAAUAUGACGAUGGCACAUGCUGUUGUCUUCAAAGGCGCAAGUCGCCACAAGAGGGAUCCGCGGCCGAUUAGCUUGUUGGCGAGGUAAUGGCUCACCAAGGCAUUGAUCGGUA